CAUGUAGGCGGAUUGAUAAGUUUGAAGUGAAAUCCUAUAGCUUAACUAUAGAACUGCUUUGAAAACUGUUAAUCUAGAAUGUGGGAGAGGUAGAUGGAAUUUCUGGUGUAGGGGUAAAAUCCGUAGAGAUCAGAAGGAAUACCGAUUGCGAAGGCGAUCUACUGGAACAUUAUUGACGCUGAGAUGCGAAAGCGUGGGGAGCAAACA
rnacentral:rRNA from 2 species